rnacentral:rRNA from 1 species
GAUGAACGCUGGCGGCGUGCCUAAUACAUGCAAGUCGAGCGAACAGAUAAGGAGCUUGCCCCUUUGACGUUAGCGGCGGACGGGUGAGUAACACGUGGGUAACCUACCUAUAAGACUGGGAUAACUUCGGGAAACCGGAUCUAAUACCGGAUAAUAUUUCGAACCGCAUGGUUCGAUAGUGGAAGAUGGUUUUGCUAUCACUUAUAGAUGGACCCGCGCCGUAUUAGCUAGUUGGUAAGGUAACGGCUUACCAAGGCGACGAUACGUAGCCGACCUGAGAGGGUGAUCGGCCACACUGGAACUGAGACACGGUCCAGACUCCUACGGGAGGCAGCAGUAGGGAAUCUUCCGCAAUGGGCGAAAGCCUGACGGAGCAACGCCGCGUGAGUGAUGAAGGUCUUCGGAUCGUAAAACUCUGUUAUUAGGGAAGAACAUACGUGUAAGUAACUGUGCACGUCUUGACGGUACCUAAUCAGAAAGCCACGGCUAACUACGUG